rnacentral:rRNA from 1 species
UACGUAGGGGGCAAGCGUUGUCCGGACUUAUGGGGCGUAAAGCGCGCGCAGGCGGUGCGUUAAGUCGGAUGUGAAAGGCUACGGCUCAACCGUAGAGCUGCAUCCGAAACUGGCGGACUUGAGUGCAGGAGAGGGGAGUGGAAUUCCCGGUGUAGCGGUGGAAUGCGUAGAGAUCGGGAGGAACACCAGUGGCGAAGGCGACUCUCUGGCCUGUAACUGACGCUGAGGCGCGAAAGCGUGGGGAGCAAACAGG